UGCUGCCAGUUGCAACGGGUGAAGCCGGGCACUCUGGCGGGACUGCCAUCGACAAGAUGGAGGAAGGUGGGGAUGACGUCAAGUCAUCAUGGCCCUUAUGUCCAGGGCGACACACGUGCUACAAUGGCCGGCACAGCGGGAAGCGAGGCAGUGAUGCCGAGCGGAUCCCUUAAAGCCGGUCUCAGUUCGGAUUGAAGUCUGCAACUCGACUUCAUGAAGCUGGAAUCGCUAGUAAUCGCAGAUCAGCCAAGCUGCGGUGAAUACGUUCCCGGGCCUU
rnacentral:rRNA from 1 species